rnacentral:lncRNA from 1 species
AUGCUCAAAAUUCUCCAAGCCAGGCUUCAGCAAUACAUGAACCGUGAACUUCCUGAUGUUCAAGCUGGUUUUAGAAAAGGCAGAGGAGCCAGAUAUCAAAUUGCCAACAUCCUCUGGAUCAUGGAAAAAGCAAGAGAGUUUCAGAAAAACAUCUAUUUCUGCUUUAUUGACUAUGCCAAAGCCUUUGACUGUGUGGAUCACAAUAAACUGUGGAAAAUUCUUCAAGAGAUGGGAAUACCAGACCAUCUGACCUGCCUGUUGAGAAAUCUGUACACAGGUCAGGAAGCAACAGUUAGAACUGGACAUGGAACAACAGACUGGUUCCAAAUAGGAAAAGGAGUACAUCAAGGCUGUCUAUUGUCACCCUGCUUAUUUAACUUAUAUGCAGAGUACAUCACGAGAAAUGCUGGACUGGAAGAAACACAAGCUGGAAUCAAGAUUGCCAGGAGAAAUAUCAAAAACCUCAGAUAUGCAGAUGACACCACCCUUAUGGCAGAAAGUGAAGAGGAACUAAAAAGCCUCUUGAUGAAAGUGAAAGAGGAGAGUGAAAAAGUUGGCUUAAAGCUCAACAUUCAGAAAACGAAGAUCAUUUCAUCUGGUCCCAUCACUUCAUGGGAAAUAGAUGGGGAAAUAGUAGAAACAGUGUUAGACUUUCUUUUUUUGGGCUCCAAAAUCACUGCAGAUGGUGACUGCAGCCAUGAAAUUAAAAGAUGCUUACUCCUUGGAAGAAAAGUUAUGACCAACCUAGAUAGCAUAUUUAAAAGCAGAGACAUUACUUUGCCGACUAAGGUCCGGCUAGUCAAGGCUAUGGUUUUCCCUUUGGUCAUGUAUGGAUGUGAAAGUUGGACUGUGAAGAAAGCUGAGCACCGAAGAAUUGAUGCUUUUGAACUGUGGUGUUGGAGAAGACUCUUGAGAGUCCCUUGGACUGCAAGGAGAUCCAGCCAGUCCAUUCUGAAGGAGAUCAGCCCUGGGAUUUCUUUGGAAGGAAUGAUGCUAAAGCCGAAACUCCAGUACUUUGGCCACCUCAUGAGAAGAGUUGACUCAUUGGAAAAGACUCUGAUGCUGGGAUGGAUUGGGGGAAGGAGGAGAAUUGGACGACAGAGGAUGAGAUGA